CCUACGGGAGGCAGCAGUAGGGAAUAUUGCUCAAUGGGGGAAACCCUGAAGCAGCAACGCCGCGUGGAGGAUGACGGUUUUCGGAUUGUAAACUCCUUUUGUUAGAGAAGAUAAUGACGGUAUCUAACGAAUAAGCACCGGCUAACUCCGUGCCAGCAGCCGCGGUAACACGGAGGGUGCAAGCGUUACUCGGAAUCACUGGGCGUAAAGGGAGCGUAGGCGGGAUAGCAAGUCAGAUGUGAAAUCCUAUGGCUUAACCAUAGAACUGCAGUUGAAACUGUUAUUCUAGAGUAUGGGAGAGGUAGGUGGAAUUCUUGGGGUAGGGGGAAAAUCCGUAGAGAUCAAGAGGAAUACUCAUUGCGAAGGCGACCUGCUAGAACAUAACUGACGCCGAUGCGCGAAAGCGUGGGGAGCAAACAGGAUUAGAUACCCCUGUAGUC
rnacentral:rRNA from 1 species